rnacentral:rRNA from 1 species
UACGUAGGGAGCAAGCGUUAUCCGGAUUUAUUGGGUGUAAAGGGUGCGUAGAUGGGAAAUUAAGUUAGUAGUGAAAGCCCCAUGCUCAACAUGGGAAUUGCUACUAAAACUGAUUUUCUUGAGUACUGGAGAGGAAAGAGGAAUUCCUAGUGUAGCGGUUAAAUGCGUAGAUAUUAGGAAGAAUACCGGUGGCGAAGGCGUCUUUCUGGACAGUAACUGACAUUGAGGCACGAAAGUAUGGGGAG